UUGGCUAUACUGGGUUAAAUAAAACAUUAAAAUUUACCUGUUCCCAUUUUUCAAAAUGUGCCUACUAUAACAUUUAAAACUACACAUGUGGCUCACAUUAUAUGUGUAUUUAGAUAUUGUUGGCUUGAAGUAUUAAAACGCAGAAUAAUACUGUUUAUAGAUGUAUUUUCUUAAAUAGUAAAAAUGAGACUAUAUCGAUAGAAUGGACACACACCAGCUUCAAGGUGGUGGUCAUCUCUUAGGAGAGAGGCCAAUGGAUGGUAUCUGGGAAUGGCUAAAAGGUGGUUUCCAUUUGUAAGUUUUUAUUUGUUAAAAACAGUCUAAAGCAAACGUGAUAUUGGGAUGUUGGAUUUUCAUAUUUUUUGUAAUUUUAUAUAAUUUAAAAUAAUUUAUAAUAUUGUUUGGUUCUUGCCCUUAAAAGUUUAUAGUCUACCUUCUGCAAAUGUGAUCAAAUCAGUUCAUGUAUGGUAUAGUUAUAUAUCAAUUUCAUAUGAAUUUUACUGAAGUGACGAAUUGUGACUAUGCUUCCUUUACAGACAAUACAGUAAUUUUAGAAGUUUCAGUCACUCAUUUAUUGCAUGCUAGGAUCUUUUCUAGGCUCUGGGGAUACAAAAAUAAUUGGGAGAGGGUCCUAGCCAUUUUGGAGCUCACAGGUAGCUUAACAAGCACAUGAUACAUGCUAUAGACUGAAUGUUUGUGUCCCCACAAAAUUCAUAUGUUGAAACCUAAUCCUCGUGUGAUAAUAUUUGAAGGUAGGGUCUUUGGGAGGUGAUUAGGCCAUGAGGGUGGAGCCCUCAGGAAUGGGAUUAGUGCCCUCAGAAAAGAGGCUCUAGAGAGCAACCUCACUCCUCCUGCCAUCCAUGGGAGAAGACGCCCAUCUAUCAACCAGAAAGUGGACACUCACCAGCCAUGAACCGGUCAGCACCUUGAUCUUGAACUUCCCACCUUCUAGAACUGUCAAGAAAUAGAACAUUGUCAACAGGGCCAGCUUUCUGGGCAUGCAAACAGCGCAGAGGCACAGGGCAGAGGCUCAGAAGCCCACCCCUUCCGACCCCUUACUCGCUCCACUCUGCUUGUGGUUCAGUGCUCAUCAUCAUGAUGAAAUUCUUAACCAUUCAUCUUUGAAUUUCUGGGUUCUGGCGGAUCUCUCCUUGCCCAUCUCUGCACUGGCCUGAGCACUCCGAGCUGACGCAGGAUGUAACCGCUGUGGUGCGCAGCCCCUCCCUCUCCCCGCCCCUCGCUGAGUUGGGGGUCAGGCCGCGGCUGCCUGUGAGGGUCUGCCUUUGACCAAAAAGAAUCGCUAUACCCAAGGGAGAGCGACGUUAAAUAGCAAAUUAGAAAACACCAUGACAUGUCGAGAGAGAGAGAGAGACGACGGAAGAAAGAAAGAAGAUUUUUGCAUUGGGUCCCACCAGUUGUGCCGCUGGCCUUGAUUGACAGCCCUGAGUGACCGCAUGUGCUCCUCCUCCAUCUAACCCCUCACCGGCCAGCAGCAGCUAUCCUGAUUUCUGGUAUUCACUACCUGUCUUUUCUUUAUAAUUUUACCGCACAAUUAUGAACUCUAAAAAGACAUUUUAGUUUUUUGUGUGUUUUUGAACUUUUUUAAAGUGGAAUCGUGUACUUUGUUAUUGUUUUCUCUGGCUUCUUCACUGUCUUGAAGAUCUGCUUGUACCUCGCUUAACUAGCUCUUUUCAUUGUGGAUGAAUAAAAUACACUUUAUUUAA